rnacentral:rRNA from 1 species
UUCUGGGAGGAUUGACAGAUUGAGAGCUCUUUCUUGAUUCGGUGGAUGGUGGUGCAUGGCCGUUCUUAGUUGGUGGAGCGAUUUGUCUGGUUAAUUCCGAUAACGAACGAGACUCUAGCCUAUUAAAUAGGUGUGUGGUUGUCUGCACCUUGCACCCUUCUUAGAGGGACAAGCGGCUCCUAGCCGCACGAAACAGAGCAAUAACAGGUCUGUGAUGCCCUUAGAU